rnacentral:lncRNA from 1 species
ACAGAAAUAAGAUCUUCUGCUUCCCCGGAGCCGGGUCCAGCCAAGGACACCCCAAGUCACCCCCUGAGCAGCAGCCUCUGGCUUCUUUCCCACUGCUCCUAGCCGCACCCGCAAGCGACGCAAAGUUAGCUCGUAGACCAGAGAGGUUGCACGCAUCUGAAACGCGCGCGGGGAAGCUGAGUAGGAUGAUUGUGAUCUAGGGGACCCUAAUUUCUUUACAAGACACCUAAGCCCACCCAGACCCACCCUACUAAAAGAGCCCCUCUCCUACCCUGCGAGCCAGAGAACGCAGAUCCGAUGGCUGGAGGCUGAGCUCUCCCCCCUCGAUCUAGUCCAAUUGUCUUGAAUGUUAAUCUCCCCUUAACUCUUGAGGAAUGGAGGUUGCUAUAAGAUAACCUAGUCAUAGGGCUAUUGUCAAGGAUUCGCUAUGUCCCUAGGAGACAGAGACUUCCAUUUCAAGAGACCUGGGGGAGGCAAAGGAGCCAGCAAGGCUCCCUUUCAAAAAAAGGAAAGAAAAGAAACUCACAAGAACAAUAACUCAAUUCACAUUGUGUGUCUAAAUGUUUACUGCCUGGCGAGCUCAAAUUGCUUUAGACACUUUUUUUCCAGGAAUUGUCAAAACACAGUUGAUAAAGUAAAAGAAGCGGGCACAAGCACCCACUUAGCAAAAACACUACUUGUUUCAAUCUUUGUUCAGAACCUGCCUACCUCUUUGGUUCUCAAGAUGCAUCCAUUUACCCUCCAGGCCAGAGACUCUUAUCGAUAAACACUGGGGACCUUCUGAUGCAUCAGCCUUACUUUUGGUCAUCUGGACCUACAAAGAUCCCAGCCAUUCCUCUAUUCCACAACUUCAUAACUACGCUCCAGGUCUCCACACAUGCCAGGUACUCAUUUAUCCCUUUGUUGCCUUGCAGUCAAGACUUUAGAAGCUACUUGGGUCAUAUCACUGCUCUGCUUACAGGCUGUGGUGGCUGCUCAUUGCUCCUUCCCACCCUGUCUGUCUUCAUCACAUUUACUCUCCCUGUCUCAUUUCUGCCCUAGGACCACUGUUUCCUUCACAUUUCUGUUCCCUGUUUGUGCUACCAUCCAAGCUUACUCCAUUUAAUGUGUGGCCAGAUCUCUGUUAUCAUCCAGGUCUGGGUUCCACACAUGGAGUGUGGCCUCUUCUGGAACUCUUCACAAACACAUGUCAUUUACUUCUCUCAGUGUUUGCAGGACCCCACAGUAUGCCCCAUUUGAAACUUAUUUCUUUGGUGCAUUUUGAAAUGGCAAUUAAGAGAAACCUGGAACAAUCUCAAACACCGCUUGCUCACUUGUGAAUGAAAUUUGUACCAGUCUAUCUUAGUGGGGGAGACAGCAGAUGCCGGAGGACUCUGUCUUGAAUAGGAAGUCACAAUAAAAAAGUGCUCAGAGAUUUCUCCUCAUAAACCACAAGCUACUCUGCAACUGAGACUGAAAAAUUUAGCUGCAUAACAGAAUAACCUCCACUCCUCCCUCCUCCUAUAAACCAUGCCAUCUUCUUCUGGAAUCUUUUUCUUUCCAGGCAGUAUAUAAAAUUUAGCUAUUUCCUUUGGGACUCAACUUGUGGUUCAUGUGUUCAGAUAUGUCAUAAAAUGUGAUUAUUUUAGCUGGGUAUUGUGUUGCAUGCCUAUAAUCUCAGUACUUGGGAGAUCAAGGAAAGAGAAUCACAAGUUCAAGGCCAGCCUAGCUACAUAGUCAGUUAACUUUGUCUCAAACAAACAAGUCUGCCAAUAGGUCUAUAUCUGGUCUUACAAGGACACAUAUUAAUAUUUCCCAAACCACAAAACUCAUAACAGUCUCAGAGUGGAGCUUGGUGAUGAAGUGUGCUUGUAGCCCUGAACUCCAGCUAGGUCUGUAGCACAACAGAAAAUAGCCUUAUGGUCUUAUGGUGGCUCGCUGUACUCCAUCUCAGCUCUUGGGAGGCUGGUGAAGGAGGACUGCAGCAAUCACAAGGCUAGCCUAACCUAUAAAAUGAGAUCCUAUCUCAAAAAGAGAAAAAGAAAGAAAGGAAGGAAGGAAGAAAGAAAGAAAGGAAGGGAGGGAGGAAGGAAGGAAACCAACAGGGAGUAUGGGCGAAGGUGGUUCAUUGGAUAAAAGUGUUUUCCAUAUGUGGUGGCUUGAAUAAAAAUGACCCCCAUUAGCUCAAAUACUCAAAUGCUUAGUUAUCAGGAGUGGCACUAUUUGAAAAGGAUUAGAAGGUGUGGCCUUGUGGGAGUAGGUGUGACUUUGUUGGAGGAAGUGCAUCACUGGGGUGGUCUCUGAGGUUUCAAAAAGCUCACACCAGGCUCACUUACUCUUUCUCUUGGUCUGCAGAUUAGCUAUCAGCUACUACUCUAGUGCCAAGAGUGUCCCCAUGUUCCCUGCCAUGAUGAUAAUGGACUAAGACUCUGAAACUCUAAAAAAAGCCCCCAUUCAAAUUCUUUCUUUCAUAGGAGCUAUCUUAGUCAUGGUGUCUCUUCACAGUAACAGAACACUGAUGAGACUUCAUGCAAGCCUGAUGUUCAGAUCCCUGGAAUCCAUAUAAAAAGUCAUAUGUGGUAACAUGUGUCUGUCAUCCCAGCAUUCCUACAGCAGGAUGGGAAGCAGAGAUGAGAGAAUUUAUCAGAAGCCCACAGACCAGCACAUCCUGGAGUACUGAGCACAGCAGCAAGGAACAAUGAGAGACCCUACUUCAAAACAAGGGUGGAAGGUGAGAAUCAACUCUGCAAAAUAGUUCCCAUCUGACUCCCACAUGUACGCCAUUGUACAUGUUCCCUGCCAUUCCCCACUGAAAGUUAGUAACAUUGCUGUUAGUACUGUACCCAGAAUGGUGCUAAGAACAUUGCAAAUAUUUGUUGAUAAUCACAAGAUUCCUCUAAGUUGGAGACCAUUUUAUUUCUCUUCUACAGAUGCAGAUGCAGUCAUUAAAAGACUGAGUAUCAUGCAUGAUAUGCCUUUGUUUACCCAUUAGAGACUUAGAGCUCUUAUUUUAAUGUUGUAUUACUAUCUGCCAUGUACCCAAUAUGCUAUCAGACAUGGUAGAUGUGACCACAGAUUUCUCCUCUGCGCAUUGCAGAGUAUGGUUUGAAGCCUGGAUGGGCAGCAGGGGAUGGCUUUGGAAGAUGUGCCACAUGUCUGCUGUGAUUCUCCCACAUGUUUCCCAACCUGCACCUUUUGGGACACUAGCCCUCAGUUCUACUUUCUCUACUUCUAGCAAACAAGGCAUGCAUAUUUUCAGGUUGUAAGGAUGGAGAGAGACCUCCCAGGAGCAGAUUAAAGUGCUGGGCAGGUUUUGAAUUAACUGUAUUAUGUUUUUAUAUCCAGUCCUUGUUUCUCCUCAUUUCAAAAACAAUUAAAGGGCAAUUAUAAGUCAUUGGUAUAAAACAUUAAUACUUCCAUCUCAGGGCUGGAGAGAUGGCUCAGAGGUUAAAAAACACUGGCUCCUCUUCCAGAGGACCAGGGUUCAAUUCUUAGCAACUAUAUGGCAGCUUAAAACUGUUUGUAACUCCAGUUCCAGUGGAGGAUCUGAC